UACGGGGGGGGCAAGCGUUGUUCGGAAUUACUGGGCGUAAAGGGCUCGUAGGCGGCCAACUAAGUCAGACGUGAAAUCCCUCGGCUUAACCGGGGAACUGCGUCUGAUACUGGAUGGCUUGAGUUCGGGAGAGGGAUGCGGAAUUCCAGGUGUAGCGGUGAAAUGCGUAGAUAUCUGGAGGAACACCGGUGGCGAAGGCGGCAUCCUGGACCGACACUGACGCUGAGGAGCGAAAGCUAGGGGAGCGAAACAGG
rnacentral:rRNA from 1 species